GAAUUUGAAAGUGCACUAGCUAGCUAACAGCUUUCUUGCUAACAACAACUGUAACACAACAAAUAAAAAUGGGGAUGUUUUGUUCAUUUAUAACAGUUUUAGGUAUUUUAUACGUAGACGUUAAUGGAAUCCUUGGCUAUUCAUAUGCAGACUGCACGUACCUGAGAGAAAACCAAAACACAACGCAUUUUGGAACACGGUGUUUCUGCUACAACUCUGGAACAAUUAUCAGAUGGAAAGAUAUCUGGUCCACCUUCCAGGUGCAUGUUAAGGGAGAAGAGGGAGUCUACAUCGUGUACCCCACGGAGGGGACCAGGAACUGCUACGAGCCAGACCACUUCCUUGUGCAGUCCCAGUGCCUCCUUGACCACUACUGGCCCCCCAGUCCCAGGGUGGCAACGGAGAGUUUAGACAUCCCCCUGGAGCAGGAGGACGUGUGCUUCAUGGUGAAGACCCCCAGGGCUAACUCUGAGCACACUCUGCACAUCAGGGGCAAACGGUUGAAUAUAUUACGGUUUGGAGUCUUUGCGUGUGGCCUCGCACUCUUCUACUUUGCUGAUGUUUUUAGUAGGAGUUCCUUGUUUUUUUACACGUCAGGCAUUUCAGUGGGAGUUUUCUCCAUUGUGAUCUUUUUACUGUUGAUCCUGAAACGCUUCAUACCGAGUGGCCUGUUCAUCAUACUACUUGGUGCUAGCUCUGGUCUGUCCUACCUUGGUUACCAAGUGCUGCUCAGCCACUGGGACGACGUCAUGACCCUGUACUGGAGGCAUGCCCUGGGCUACCUGCUGGCGACCGGUCUGAUCAGCUGGCUGGCCUGCUACAAGCACGGCCCCAUCGCCAGCGAGCGCGUCCUGGCCCUGCUGACCUGGGGGCUCCAGGGCGCGGCCGUGGGCCUCAUGUACUACGGGGUGACCUACCCCAUGGCCUUCUACACCCUACUGGGCCUCCUUCUGGUCCUCAAGGCUCUGCCCUGGGUCUACAGGCUGCUGCUGGGGGCGUGCAGGCUGACAGGGUGGAUUCUGGCCUCCCUCCUGAGUGUGUUUCGGCGUAAGCCACGGGUGCCACAGGUGCGCCUCCUCACAGAGGAGGAGUACAGGGAGCAGGGAGAGGUGUACACCAAGGCCUCACUAGAGGCGCUCAAAGAGUGUUGCACCAAGCCUGCCUUCCCUGCCUGGGAUACCGUGCUCCGUCUCCGCUCGCCACAGAGGUUUGCAGCGUUCCUGAAGAGAGGAGACCACGUGACCGCCGAGGAGCAGCAGAGCCACGAAGAGGAUUACGGCCCCGGGGGGGCCUGCUACGAGGACAUGCUCUUCAGCUCCGCCAGCCACCGGGCGCUGGGCCUGGCUGCCAGCGACGACGACGACAUGAACGGCUAUGCCCAGGCCCCGUCCACAGCUAACUCCCUCUCGCCCCACACUGCGACCACGCCCAUGCCCCGCCCUGACACCGCUGCCAGCUGCCCGCCCCUGUUGUACAGUGCCCCCAUGUACCCCCACUACCAACCGCCCUACCCUCUCUUGCCCUCGCCCCCAGAGCCCUACGUCAGCCCGGAUGACGAGGAUGAGGACAUGGACCUGUUCUGAGCCCCAAGGGUGUUGUCCUUUGUGAUGACUCCGAGGGACCCCGAAAUAGCUAGGGAAUAACCACUCAGCCGGCACCAGGGGGGUGUUACCACACGGCUUCAACGUCCUGCCUCUCAGCCCUGUUCAUAGGACUGGCGUAUGCAUUGGCUGCAUUGAGUUUUUCCAUCGUUAAAACUGCGAGGAAGUGCCUAAAGCAGUCCGUGCUCGGGGAGAAUCGUGACGCCCCAGACGUCGUGGGUUUGUCAUCGUAACCCAAACUUUAAGGCUGUGUCUUGCAUUUCUACACCCCAAGGCACCUGUCUCAAUAAGGAAUCCAAAAAAUUCAGAAUCACAAUUACUGCAAAUCACCAGAAUGACUCAACACAGGUUAACACCUUUAGGACUAAUUGCUAGUAGAUGGUUUGAUUUUUUUUUCUCCUGUUUAUAAGUGAGCCUAGGACUCUGAGAGCUCCUGUUGGCACGCGUGUUCUCGGCUUUGGAGUCCUGUAUUCUAGCGCCCCCACCUGGCCAUUCAGGAACCUGCAGUCUCAGGGACAGCCAAUCACAUGCUGUAAACAUCAAACUUUUGUCAGAAGCCCACAGUCCUCUCUCCCCCUUGGCCAGAAAUAUGCCUGUGUUUUAGAUGUUUUUUUUUUUUUCUAUCAAAAUGU